GUCUCGUGACUGAAAGAAAUUUCUUCUCAUGUUAUUAGAAUUUUUUUUUCUUUCCUUCAAUUUUCUCAUAAACAUUAGUUUUCUUUUAAUAAAAUUAUUAUUGAUAGGUUUUUCCAAUUUCUCUGAAAGCCAGAAGCAGAUUUUUGUCAGUUUCUACCAUAUUUUUUUUCAAGUUGUGGAUUAAGAUUCAUGAUUAUCCUUAAUCCUUAAUUUUUGAAAUUAUUCUUAAUAAAAAAAAUUUUGAAAUUAUGAUUAUUUAUAAAUUAAAAUAAAAAGGGGAAAAAACCUACAGUUGAGCGGUUUACGUUGAUCGCCAGGCUCCUAAGAUUUUUCUGUCUUUCUCGGCAUUCUCUACAUCUCGCUUUUGUUAAAAGAUAAAAUCUUUAGUGUUUGGUUUGAUCCUUCGUUUUAAUUUUUAAUGUGAAGCUAUGGAGAAAAAUUUGCGCAGAAACAUCAAUAGAAGUCUCGCUGAUUGCAGAGAAUUGGAAGCCGCUUCUUGGUAGAAUCAUUUUUCAGUACAUACACGGGUUAGCUGCUCAUGGAAUUCAUUACUUACAUAGGCCAGGGCCAACGCUUCAGGACACUGGCUUUUUCUUCUUCCAGAACUUGGACAAGAUAAAGCUUAUAUAAGUGAGACUCUUUUCACUUUCAUCUUUUGUUCUUUUGUGUUGGUAAGGUUUUACAGUCCUGUUAUUUAUGUUUACAUGUGUUGCCCACUAUCUAGGCACAUUUUUCAAUGUUCUCUUUUACAGUUAACAGAUAAUUGCACUGUUUUCUACCUAGAUCACCUAUGGUACUGAUGUUUUCAGUAAUGUCAAUGUUCCCAUUCAGUUUUUCUUUUUGUCUUGCUAAUUUCAUCCUACCCAGAAUUUCACUUAGUUGUUUCCCUUUACCUAUCUCGUCUGCCGGUGAACUGAAGUAUUUCAUGCAUAAUAUAGUCUCUCUUUCUUUGAUUAUUUAAGGAAGAUAUAUUCAAGACUGACAUAUAAGUUUGCAUAAGUUUGUCUAAUAAUAAAAAAAUGAAGUUUGUGAAUUUCAAUAGGUCCUUGCCAGUUGCUUUUGUGAACGUCUAUGUGCAUCCAUUUCUCCAAGAUUGGAUCAACAAGCAUUCAAGGAGCAAGAUCAUGCUUUAUUUCUAAAAUGAGUUGUUAGAAAUAAGUAUUGAUGAUCUUGACUGUCAAGUAAAACUACUAAGUUGGAGAAUAUGGAGAUCUUUCACAUAGGUUUUCUGUAGACGCCAAAGAACAUGAAAUACAUUCAAGCUUCUUCUUGUCUCUGACUAAAUUGUUCCUCAUCUUAUUAAGUAGUUUAAUUAUUAAUGACCAGCUAGUAAUCUAUGAAUUGUUGAUUGGACUAACUAGUCUUAGUCCUGUUGCAGUGGACUUUUCACCCUUUCAUUUUUCAGUACAAAAAAAUCUACACAGCUUUAGUCUGGUGCAGGGUUCUUGCUUAUUUAGUGUUUCCUGAGGGGUUAAUUAUGGCUGUGGUGAUUUGAUAUUUUCAUCACACAUGAUUUUCAAUAUAGUGUUCGUUCGCACAUAUUAUAAGUAUGGGCAAGGAGGUGAAUGCACUUGUCCUUUCUUUUGUGUUUGUGUGCUUGCGCAUAUGUUUCUUAAUUUGAAGGAGUGGUGGAGUGGAGCCAAAGUAACUAUAUGCAUCAUAGUUGUGGUCUGUGCAUUCUACUAGGUGUAAGGACUGAUUCCAAACUUUGUUGUCACUACUUUGGCUUACCCUACAGGUGCAUAAAACAGUUUGCUUGGUUACUUGCUGUGAUUCAGAGCCUUCUUAGUUUAGCAUCUCGCAAACAUUACACGGUUGAUGUUGUUGUUGCAUGGUACACUGUAAAUUUGGUAGCAUUUUUUAUUGACAAGAAAAUGCCAGAAUUGCCUGAUCGAUCCACUGGACUCACAUCCCUGCCGCUACUACCUGUGAGUAGAGAAAAGGAUAGCAAGAGCCUGGAAGAGCACCAAGUGGGGUUUCUGUUUAGAAUGUUGGUAUGGAUUAUUAGUAAAAGCUUCCAGUCAUCAUACUGGUUUUCACCUUCACUUGCUUCACUUGUGACACUUGGAUUACAAGGUUAAGAACAUAGCCAGUGGUGAAUUGUGCAUAAACAUCAGCAAUGCUGAAGAUAGCUCUACUGGUGUUACCCUUUGGUUAUGUGCCUGAGUUUCUUUCUGAACUAAUGCAUUUUCAGCUCAGUUAGUGGGGUUGACAUACUUCAUUUUAAUUGUUAUUUAAAUGGAAUGAAAUGUUUUUUAUAUUUCUCACAUGCAAGAUACAGUACUACUUCUUUUAGGUUUUAUUGUUUCUUUGGACCGUGGAAUUGAUAUUGGUAUGUACAGUUUCCUAUAUACUGGGAGAACAUGUUACAUCAGGAAGAAAUAGCAUUGGUCUGGGACAGCUUGUCAUGUUUGAAAUUUGAAGAAAACUGCUAGAAGUUUUGGUCCACAAAAUUUGAGAUGGAGGUGCAGACGAAGCGACAAAGAAUAAGAGGGAACAUGAUUAUGUUGAUGGUUUCACAAUGAGAAUAGCAUGACCUUAAAUUUUUUUGGAUUGGAUGCAUCUUAUAGUCAAUAAUACUAUCCUGUGUCCCACAAUAAUACUAUCAUCCUCUACCCCUUGGAAGCUGAAAUGUAAUUUAACAUUGGAGAAAGCACUUGUUACAUCACAUGCACGCCUGCGCUUUCUCUCCCCAUCAGAGGCACUGCACACUUUCCCUUUUGAGCUCUUAUCUUUAGUACCAACAUGAUUUCUCUUAUUUCCUGCUUUACCAAUGUCAAAUUUAUUGAAAAGGAAAGGGAUCACUGUAUCUACCUGCUCCUCCAAUCUAGGCCAUUGAAAAUCGUGUAUCAGCUAGCUGCACCAGCACCAUCCUUGAACAAAUUGCAGGUUCCUUCUUUAGUAAAUCUUCGUUUUUUUACCCUCUUGCUUUUCAGUGUUAUUAUGGCCAG
rnacentral:misc_RNA from 1 species